UCACCCGUAGUUAAGCCUCCAUACUAUUACAAAUCUCCACCUCCACCAUCACCUUCUCCUCCACCUCCUUACUACUACAAGAGCCCCCCACCACCAUCACCCUCUCCUCCUCCUCCGUACUAUUAUAAAUCUCCCCCACCGCCAUCACCCGUAGUUAAGCCUCCAUACUAUUACAAAUCUCCACCUCCACCAUCACCUUCUCCUCCACCUCCAUACUACUACAAAAGUCCUCCUCCACCAUCACCCUCUCCUCCUCCACCAUACUAUUAUAAAUCUCCCCCACCACCAUCACCCGUAGUUAAGCCUCCAUACUAUUACAAAUCUCCACCUCCACCAUCCCCUUCUCCACCACCUCCUUACUACUACAAGAGUCCCCCUCC
rnacentral:lncRNA from 1 species